AUUGAACGCUGGCGGCAUGCUUUACACAUGCAAGUCGAACGGCAGCGCGGGCUUCGGCCUGGCGGCGAGUGGCGCACGGGUGAGUAAUGCAUCGGAACGUGCCCAGUAGUGGGGGAUAGCCCGGCGAAAGCCGGAUUAAUACCGCAUACGACCUGCGGGUGAAAGCGGGGGACCGAAAGGCCUCGCGCUAUUGGAGCGGCCGAUGUCGGAUUAGCUAGUUGGUGGGGUAAAGGCUUACCAAGGCGACGAUCCGUAGCUGGUCUGAGAGGACGACCAGCCACACUGGGACUGAGACACGGCCCAGACUCCUACGGGAGGCAGCAGUGGGGAAUUUUGGACAAUGGGGGCAACCCUGAUCCAGCCAUGCCGCGUGCGGGAAGAAGGCCUUCGGGUUGUAAACCGCUUUUGUGCGGGAAGAAAUCCUCUGGGCUAAUACCCCGGGGGGAUGACGGUACCGGAAGAAUAAGCACCGGCUAACUACGUG
rnacentral:rRNA from 1 species